rnacentral:rRNA from 1 species
CGGCCCAGACUCCUACGGGAGGCAGCAGUAGGGAAUCUUCCGCAAUGGGCGAAAGCCUGACGGAGCAACGCCGCGUGAGUGAUGAAGGUCUUCGGAUCGUAAAACUCUGUUAUUAGGGAAGAACAUACGUGUAAGUAACUAUGCACGUCUUGACGGUACCUAAUCAGAAAGCCACGGCUAACUACGUGCCAGCAGCCGCGGUAA